AAUGAACGUUGGCGGCAUGGAUUAGGCAUGCAAGUCGAGCGAGAAGUGUAGCAAUACACGGAAAGCGGCGGAAGGGAGAGUAAUACGUGGGAAUCUGCCCUUAGACCUGGGAUAGCAGCGGGAAACUGCUGGUAAUACCAGAUAAUGUCUAUGGACCAAAGGUGUGAUUCCGUCUAGGGAUGAGCCCACGUCCUAUUAGCUAGUUGGUAGGGUAAUGGCCUACCAAGGCGAUGAUGGGUAGCGGGUGUGAGAGCAUGACCCGCCUCACUGGGACGGAGACAGUGCCCGAACACCUGCCGGUGGCUGCAGUCGAGAAUCUUCGGCAAUGGGCGCAAGCCUGACCGAGCGAUGGCGCGUGCGGGAUGAAGGCCUUCGGGUUGUAAACCGCUGUCGAGGGGGAGCAACUUCCAUAGAGUUAUCUUUAUGGAUUGAGUGAUCCCUGGAGGAAGGACGGGCUAAGUUCGUGCCAGCAGCCGCCGUAAUAC
rnacentral:rRNA from 1 species